GACGAACGCUGGCGGCGUGCUUAACACAUGCAAGUCGAACGGAAAGGCCCUGCUUGCGGGGUACUCGAGUGGAGAACGGGUGAGUAACACGUGGGUGCUCUGCCCUGCACUUCGGGAUAAGCCUGGGAAACUGGGUCUUAUACCGGAUAGAUGCCAUUUUUAGUGUGAGGGUUGGAAAGUUUUUUCGGUGUUGGAUGAGCUCGCGGCCUAUCAGCUUGUUGGUGGGGUAAUGGCCUACCAAGGCGGCGACGGGUAGCCGGCCUGAGAGGGUGGACGGCCACAAUGGGGCCGGGGAACGGCCCAGGAUCCUACGGGGGGCAACAGGGGGGAAUUAUGCAAAAUGGGGGCGAGGCUGGUGCAGCGACGCCGCGUGGGGGAUGACGGGCUUUGGGUUGUAAACCCGCUUCGAGAGGGGCGAAGCUUUUUGUGACGGUACCUAGAGAAGAAGCAACGGCUAACUACGUG
rnacentral:rRNA from 1 species